UGAUAACAGUGGUGGAGUACCUUGUAC
rnacentral:sRNA from 1 species